rnacentral:rRNA from 1 species
GAUGAACGCUGGCGGCGUGCCUAAUACAUGCAAGUCGAGCGAACAGACGAGGAGCUUGCUCCUCUGACGUUAGCGGCGGACGGGUGAGUAACACGUGGAUAACCGACCUAUAAGACUGGGAUAACUUCGGGAAACCUGAGCUAAUACCGGAUAACAUGUUGAACCGCAUGGUUCAACAGUGAAAAACGGUCUUGCUGUCACUUAUAGAUGGAUCCGCGCCGCAUUAGCUAGUUGGUAAGGUAACGGCUUACCAAGGCAACGAUGCGUAGCCGACCUGAGAGGGUGAUCGGCCACACUGGAACUGAGACACGGUCCAGACUCCUACGGGAGGCAGCAGUAGGGAAUCUUCCGCAAUGGGCGAAAGCCUGACGGAGCAACGCCGCGUGAGUGAAGAAGGUCUUCGGAUCGUAAAACUCUGUUAUUAGGGAAGAACAAAAGUGUAAGUAACUAUGCACGUCUUGACGGUACCUAAUCAGAAAGCCACGGCUAACUACGUG